GCUUCCAUAGUAUAGUGGUAGUGCGUUUGCUUCGUAAGCAAAAGGUCAUAAUUUGGGAGCU
rnacentral:tRNA from 1 species